AACAUCUGAUUAUUCUUAGGUGAGAAGAACAACAGAUUAUUUUUUUUCUCAUGGAAUUUUUGUCAGUUUUCCAAACUUGAGCGAGAAUCUGUGGGUUAGAAGUUGGCAGGGUUCCUUAUUAGCCCUGUAUUUGGUUGUAUUACCUGUAGUUUUUCAUACUGUGUUUAUCAAUAUGGUCUAUAAAUGUAUUCUGGACUUGAGUCCGUAACCUCAGGCUGGUCUGUAUUUAACAGGGCACUUUGCUGCCCUGUCUUUGCCCCCCACCCCGUCCCAGGGAGGUACCUGCUCUCAGACCUGGCCCAAAACCAGAGCACAGACCCCGCUCCCCCUCAAUAUUGUCAGUGAGGCCCUUUCUGCACCACAGUCCUCGCACCCAGGCUCCUCAGGAAAGCAGACCUCUUUCUUUAUGUCCAGCCUAAUGUCCUAAAACCAGCUGCUCAGCUCUUGUCUGGCUCCUGCUGUCCCGCACCCCAGCCCGGGCAGCGCCGUCCUGUCCCCGCUGCCACCGGCCCGUGUGCCGGGGCUGUUCCAGGAAGGAGCAGCACAACCUUUAUUCCUGGCGCUGUCCGUGUGUCCGGGACAGCUUCUGCGGAGGGACGGUGCCACGAGCUCUGUUUACAGCUGCGGGGGCCAAGCCUGCCCUAGUUAGUCACGGCUUCUUGUCCUGUUUACCUUCCAGUAGCAUCGGCAGGCAUUUCACGUGGCUGUUCAGAGAGGAAAGAAUCUGAGGAGAAGGAAAGAGCCGCAGAGAGCUUUGCUGCGGCGAGCGGUCGUGACCGCCGUACCUUGGGAACGGCAGCUUUACACUGCUCAACGCAGGGAUUAUUUUAGGGUGGGUUUUUUUUCCCUCCCCAAAAUAGAAACAAAAGAAAGUCUUUGACAGCUGGAUCACCCCCUGACUGAAGAAAAUGUUCUCUUGUGUCUCUCACGCUGUGAUCCAGUAAUUGCUCUCUGGCGUUAUAAGGAAAGAUCUUGAGCUAAGCUAAAAAUUCAGGCGGCUUCUCAGCACCCUGUGAGCACUUCUGUAUAAAACACCUUUUUAGUAAUGUCAAAACUAUUGCUGCUGGGAGAGCAUCUUGGGGAUGGUUGCUUUGGAUGCCCGGUUGAGGAGCUACAAGAGUUUUCUACUAAAUUGCGUUGCUGUGGUUUUGCAAUGGUUUUGCGUCCCCUCUGUCCUGCCCGCGGCGCCUCUCUAGGAGCAAUGCUGCUGAUGGUGAUGGGGAACAGCUACUGCUGCUGGUCGCUGAAGCUUGGCUGGUCACAGGCUCCAGAGCUUUAAAAGACACGUGAAACCCCCGCUGCUUCCCAACCAGGGGGCAAAGCAGCUAUUAUUGCAAAGCCCGUUCCUGCCCUGCUGUGUGUGCCCUGAUACGGCGUUGAGCCACCACUGGAUUUCAGGCAAACCUGUGGUCCCAGAGCAUCCCCACCCUGGAGCAUCCCCCCAUUCCAGAGCAUCCCCCCCACCCCAGAGCAUCCCCCCCAUUCCAGAGCAUCUCCCAUUCCAGAGCAUCCCCACCUCAGAGCAUCCCCCCCAUUCCAGAGCAUCCCCAUUCCAGAGCAUCCCGCCCCAGAGCAUCCCCCCCCCCCCAUUCCAGAGCAUCCUCCCAUUCCAGAGCAUCCCCACCCCAGAGCAUCCCCCCCAUUCCCAAGCAUUCCCCCAUUCCGGAGCAUCCCCCCAUUCCAGAGCAACCCCCAGCGCUCCCCAUCACCCAGGUACCCUUUGAGUUCUUAACCCAUAUUCUGGGAAAAACGGAACAGACGCCUUCGAAGCUGUUUUCACAGCAAAUAACAGGAAUCCCCACCUCCCUGGGGUACCUUCAUACCUAGUGACCUUUUUUCCCCGUCUUGCUAAUGACAACAUACUUUCUUUUCACAUUCACUCAGUGUUGUCUGCUUUUUUAUUUUCCAGGUGACUGUUUUCAGCCUUUGCUGUGUCCUUCUGCGAAGCAGCGUCAGCGCUCGGGCUGGUGUUCCCGUCAGGACGCACAGACCCGCUUCGCUCCUUCCCUAAGAGCUUCCUAUUGACUGAGCUGCAAUUGCAGUCGCCAGAGCCUAAUGGUAGGGCAAGGACAAAUCCUGCGGGGGCAAACUGCAGCUCUGCUCAGGUCUAGGCUGCUAUUAACUUUGUGUGGUAUGGAGCAAGCCGUAUAACCUCGCUCUGCCUGUGUUUUAUGAGGUCCAAAAGAAAAUUACAGCUUUUUCCACGUUAGAAAGUGGUACAAAUAAAGAAAGAAAUAUAUAAAUGCUAAGUUCAUGUUAUUACGUUCAGACUCUUUACUUCAAAGAAAUUACUCUGUAUAGGAAAGUUAUUUUUAAACACCAUUUAUUUUCAGUUGUUGCAAAAGUUCUCUUGCACAUCCAGUUAAAACCCACGUUUUGUGUGAUUUAUAACUUAAAAAAAAUCAAUUUUGGCUACGAGUCUUUCAUGUUUAGUAUUUUAGUAUUAGGUGUGAGACUCUGGCAGUGAGUCACGGGUAAACCACAGAAUUAGUAGUUGUAGUUUCUGAGGGGUUGUGGAGUUUUUCUGAGAGCCCUGGAGGAAACUUCAGCCGCCGUCGGGAGGAACAGCUCUGCAGGUGCACCUGGUGCGUUCCCCAUCCGCGCCAGGUUCGUGCUCACUGACACCACUAGGAGACACCUUUUCCGGACCUCACCCUUCUCAGUUGCUCCCUACCUGUUCUGGGCUAAACAAAGCAAGUGUCUCAUCUAGAUGCCAGGCUGUAGUUCAUCUGGGCUUUAUCUCUCCUGGUGCAGAACCUUCUCGUCCCUGCCAUCCCCAGCUCGCGGUGCCGCGGGACCGACAGCUCCAUCGUUCUCUUUCCCCAUCUUCUACUUAUUACGGAAGAUGCAGAGACCUCUGUCACACGGGGGCUGGAGGGGAGUGGAACAGCUUCAUCCUCUACAAUAAAAGAGCAAGAAAUUUCAACCCCGAGGAAGAAUGGACAGGCAGAGGUUCCUGCGUGUGUUCACUGCCCGUGUUCACUAUUGGCUUCUGAGAUGAGAAGAAGGCAGGUGCUUAUGGGGGAGAAGCCAAAUCCCCAGCAGACGGAAGCGCUGUGGUCUGCAGUGACGGCCAAGCACAGUAACGUGAGUUUAUUUCUUGCUGGAAGGAUCCAGAAGAGUUGUUGUAUUUACUGCUGCUCUCUGCUGUGAAGUGCAGGCACCGGGUCCCCUGCACGGAGAACAAAUUCCUGCAAAGGAAAAGGAUGAAAUGGUUUCAAAGUGUGCGUGGAAAACCCAAAAAAAUGCAAAAUUUCAGCUGAUUAGAAAAUAACAGCUCUCGAGUGGAGCUGGGUUCAGUCUUUCUUCUUUUGAGAUGUUUGAGAAGGAUUCUUUUAUUUAGAGAAUAUUUCUCGAUUAGAUAUUUUACUGCACAAAAUAAUAAUUAUGCAAAUAAAUCCAUAGUUCCCAUAUUUAA